CGCGAAGAACCUUACCAAGGCUUGACAUAUACAGGAAUAUGGCAGAGAUGUCAUAGCGGUAAAACGUCUGUAUACAGGUGGUGCAUGGUUGUCGUCAGCUCGUGUCGUGAGAUGUUGGGUUAAGUCCCGCAACGAGCGCAACCCUCGUUCUGUGUUGCCAGCAUUUAGUUGGGGACUCACAGGAGACUGCCGGGGUUAACUCGGAGGAAGGUGGGGAUGACGUCAAAUCAUCAUGCCCCUUAUGUCUUGGGCUGCACGCAUGCUACAAUGGCUGGUACAAAGGGCUGCAAUACUGCAAAGUGGAGCGAAUCCCAAAAAGCCAGUCUCAGUUCGGAUUGAGGUCUGCAACUCGACCCCAUGAAGUCGGAGUUGCUAGUAAUCGUAGAUCAGCAACGCUACGGUGAAUACGUUCCCGGGGCUUGUACACACCGCCCGUCACGUCACGAAAGUCGGUAACACC
rnacentral:rRNA from 1 species